UCUUUGCUAUGAUGUUUAUCUGACUAUCAGUUUAAAAAUGUACACAUAAAUUAAGCAUGAUUUUGUCAAAGUGCAUAGAUUAAAUUUUGUGAAAGUUCUCAAUGGAAGAGUUGUUGAUUAUGCACUUAUAAUUUAAUAUAUUAAACUACCUGCGAAAUUUACUUCAGUUGAAAGAAAAAGAUAUUCAUGAUACUUUCAUAAUGAUGUCAUAUUAUCAAUGUACAUUAAUAUGUAGUUAUGUCAACUGAGAAUAAUGUUAUAUAAAAAUAAGUAUCGAAUUGUUUUACUAAUACACGAAUAUGAAGGUGCAUAUGUUCCUGAGAAACACUAAGUUCUAUAAUUACAGUUCGUCCUUCUCAUCGAGAUCUAUAUCACUAAGAUCGAUAUCUUCUUCUUGUGGAAGUUCAGCAUCUUUGCCAUCCCAUGGUUUUGUUUCAAAAAUUCUGCUAGUGCUGGAUAUCCGAAUCC
rnacentral:misc_RNA from 1 species